CACUGCUUGAAAUCCCCUCCAAUGGUGACUAAAAGGGACCUUUCCCACUGAGGUGGAAAGCAGCCCUUCUCUUAGCUGUACCAGGGCCUUUGCAGUGGUUGUCAGGGUGGAGCCAGGCAGGACCCCUGGAAACACAGAGUAGAGGAUGUGUACUGUGGGCUCAUUUAAGCCAGGUUUCCUUUAAAACCAUCUUUUCCAAAGCUACUUGUAAUUCUUUGGCUGAAGAUACUGCAAUUUUCGUGAAUAGCAAAGGACAGAGAACUCUUGAGUAGACUGCAUCACAUAAACUAGCUGCCAUCCAAGCCAAGCCUAAUGCAUCGUCUGCGAGUUAUUUGGAGGGAAAAUCACAGAGCACACCAGAGUGACUCGUCUCUUAAGAACUAGGAUGAAGUCUAUUUGAGUGCUGCACCUAAUCACAAAAUGAACCCAGGAUAAAGCAGUCAAAGCUGCCAUUAACAUGAAUGUGAGACCAGGAGAAGCCUUGGAGCACAGCCAGUGCUACAGAAAGGAUGGAAGUUUGCUCUGUGCACAGGAGGGCAGCUCUCGGUCCAUUCGGCACCUUCAGAAACGAGGCUCAUUUCAAACCUCAGGAAAGCAGUGGGUGGUGGCUACUGUGUCAGAGCAAAAGUAGGACUGGAUGGGGUGGCUCUGGGGAAAGGAGUAGGUGCACCAGAGGCAAUGACUUGCCCCAGGUCGCACCCCUGGGGUGGAAGGGCCACGGUCCAGCCCGGGCAGUCACCGUCCUGAGCCUGCCUGGCAUCUGGAAGGUGGAAUAAACAUGUGAACGAGAAGCUAUUAAAUUUGCGUGUCUUUUUUGUUUAUUUUUGCCAGGGUGGAGAGAUGUUAAUGAUUAUUUUUCCUUCUUGAAAGAAGCGAUGUUUUAAAAGGGAGACGUGGCAUUCAUGGAGUGGCUGGGCUUUUCUGUAACUCUUGGGACGUGAUUAGUGAGCAGAAAGUCACUCGAUUUCCCGUGGCAUCUGUACCACACUCCUGUGCCCUGAAGCAUAGAUAAGACAACUGAAAAAUGUGCAAAUAUACAAAGUAACCAGGAUUCCAGAUUUAAAAUUCUGUUCUAAAUUAAGUGCUAUAACAUCAUUUAAGUACAUACUAUACUUGUUUACAAUGACGAUAUUGCAUCUCUUAUUUAGAGAAAAGGACAAGGAUAGGUAAUAUAUUUUAUAAUCUUUUAUCCUCAGUACUUAGCAGAUACUCAAUACCAGCUGAAUGAAUAAAAAGGUGAUUUA